UAUUUACAUAAAAAAUAAAAUUCCUAAGCUUAGGAAUUUAUAUAGAAUCACAAUUUUAUAGAUUCAUAAUUAUUAAUUAUAUAAAAUCCUUAUAUUUAAUAUAUAGAUAUUUAAUAUAAUUAUAAAUUUAUAAUUAUAAUGAUACUAUGAUAUAAUGAUACUAUGAUAUAAUUAAUAAGAUUAUAAUAUAAUUUAUAUAGAUAUUUAUUAUAGUAUUGUAUUUUAUAUUGGAUUAUUAGGUUUAGGUGUUAUUUGAUACUUAUAAAUUAUAGAUAGACGAUAAGACCUUAUACUUCUUUACUCUAAUAUUUUAUCUAUAAUAUAUAGAGAUAUUAAUAAAUAGAAUAAGACCUAGCAAUAUCAUGCAAAUGAAUAAGUUAUGGAAUAUGGGGUAAUCUUAUAAUAUAUUGGGGGAAUAUACCGUUUAAUGCGAUACAUCACUUUAAUCUUACUUAUAUAAUACAAGUGUUGCAAGGCUGCUGUUAAUAUGAUAAAUAAAUUAUUUUAUAUAUAAUGGACAAGUUAUUUGAUCUAUAAAAUAUAAGGCUACAAGGUAUAUUACAAUUCUAUAUAUAAAUAUAAUAAUAUAGAUAUUGAAUAUAGAUAUUAUCAUUCUAUUGAAUAUGUACUCAAUAAGUAAUCAUUAAAUAUAAAUAUAUAAAUGGUGAAUAGAUAUUAGAUUUUUACACACUGCCCGACAUAGACUUAUUAUAUAAUAUAGUCUGAAGUUGUAACAAGGUAGGUAUAUAUAAAUAUGUGCCUGAUUAUAAUAUAUAUAAAUAUUUUAUAAAUAUAUAAUAGAACACUGUAAUCUUAGUUUUACAUUUAAUAUAUAUAUAUAUUUUAUUUUUAUAUAAAAAUGUUAUAAUAUUUGUAUGUAUUAUUAUGUUAUGAAAUUAUGCUUGUUGGUAUAGGUUUUUAUGUCUAACUAUAACAAUACGAAUACUGAUUAAUGUUAUUAAGUUUACGAAUAUAUUGUUUUUGUUUUAGAUUAAUUUUAUAAAUAAUAGAAUACCCUAAUCUCUAGCAGCUUAUUAAUCUAUAGAUUAAUAUAUAGAUUAAAGCAUAUGAUAGUAGGAAAUACUGAAGAGAUUAUGUAGUAUAAUAAAGGAAUUGGGUUUAAUUAGGUUUAGGCUCGCUUUAUUAUAUGAUAUUAUGCCUGAAUAUUAUCCUUAUUCUUGUUUAUAUAAAAUAUAUAUAGAUAAGAUAACGGUUGAAUUACGUACAAUACCUAAUUGUUUUUGUAUGAAUUUGUAAAAUAAUAGAUACUCUUGUAGACAUAAUUAAUUGUAGUAUAAAAUUCCAGAGAUUAAUAAUAUGUAAGGAAAUCUACGGACAUAGAUAAUUCUGGUUCAAAAUCCUAUUUAAUCUGUAAAAGUUGGAAAUUCUGGAUUAAUUAUAGAUUUGUUG
rnacentral:rRNA from 1 species